UUAUCAUGCAAUUUAAGUUCAAGUUCGGUCAAAUCCACCUAAGGUCUCACGCUAAGGAUGGCAAGUCCACCUAAUCCCCCCUCAAGCUUAUAGGACAAAAGGAACCACCACUGGGUUAUUUCCUAACCGCCUUAUACCAAGAUCAAGAGAGUUUAAAAUCAAAUCUAUUCUUCCCAUUUUUUUUCAUUCAUUUUUUUUUUCACAUUUACGAGCGUAGACGUUGCUUUCCCUAAUCCCAGAGGUAUUCCGGCUGUAGAGUCGCUAUCCCCAACCACAGAUUACGUAGGCCUCGGUACUUUUUUUAUUUAUUUUUGCAAGGUCGAUUUCACACACCCUAGCGGUAAUCUGGCUGUAGAUACCAUGGGCCAGCUGUGGUACACUCACCUAAAUCAAGAACCCUAAUCCGACUCUAUUAUGU
rnacentral:lncRNA from 1 species